GUGAAAACAGUUAAGUUAAUUUGGAAAACAUCCCAUGAACUGACCAGACAAAAGAUGUGCGUCUCUUCUUAUACCUGGAGCAGGAGUUGCAGGACACCAGCCCUCAAGGGCCUAGAUUGCCCACCUCUGACCUGGAGGAAAAUAUCUAGCCAUUUGUUCGUGACCUCAAGCUGAAACAAACUUGGAUUCUGCAGCAGGACAUUGAUUCAAAACACACCAGUAAGUCCACAUUAGAGUUCAUGGAAAUCAAACUCAGGAAUUUUAGUUCCUGAAAACAAACAUUUUUCAGGAACUAAACAUUUUUCGUUCCUGAAUUAAAACAGCAACAACUUUCUGCUGUUCAACAAAAAGUCGUUGUUGAACAGCAACUUCUUGCUAACUUUUGUCUAAAUAUAUGAAGGAAAAAUGAGUAAGUAAAAAAAAAUUUAAAAAAGGCAUAUUGAAGAUAUUUCCACAGAAUAUAAAAACACUUUUUGGCUGCUAUGUUUCCACUCUAUUUCCACUUGAAGUGAAGAGCUUCACAUGACACUGGAUUGCCAAAGACUAGCUCGGAUAAAGAUUUUCUCAUUUAGUUACAAAAAGUGGUGUUGGAGCGGCCACAAGUAGGUGUGAUCUAGAACUUUUUGGGAUGGUGAAUAUUUUUUUUUUCUGUUCUUUGGUCUUCAAUUUUCUACUUUGGCUUUGUUUGCACAACACCAAAACAUUCUCUUUCCAUCCACAUCGUACGCCGAUGUCUCGAAUGACGUUCCCAACAUGUUUGAAAUUCAAGUUUUACUUGAAGUUUGAUUCAAUAAAAGUUUUUAAAGAUGUUUUA